GAGAACACUGCCCUGAGUGAGGAAUGAUGGGAAAGCCAGUGUCUGACUGUGAAGUGCGUUUGACCUUUAGGAUCUGCUCGGCUACUUUUCACCACACUCACAGUUGCUUGCCCAGGUCGUACUGACCACCUGCUUGAGUAGAAUAGUUCCCAGCUUGAGACUAAGAUAAGUUGUUUCUUUUCUGUUUAGUUCUCCAAAUGACAAGAAAUCCUUCUGCUCAAUUGAAGGGGAAUGGAAUGGCAUCAUGUAUGCAAAAUAUGCAACCGGGGAAAAUACUGUCUUUGUAGACACCAAGAAGUUGCCUAUAAUCAAGAAAAAAGUGAGGAAGUUGGAAGAUCAGAACGAGUAUGAGUCCCGAAGCCUUUGGAAGGAUGUCACUUUCAAUUUAAAAAUCAGAGACAUUGAUGCAGCAACGGAAGCAAAGCACAGACUUGAAGAGAGACAAAGAGCAGAAGCGCGAGAACGGAAGGAGAAGGAAAUUCAGUGGGAGACGAGGCUCUUUCACGAAGAUGGAGAAUGCUGGGUUUACGAUGAACCUUUACUGAAGCGUCUUGGUACUGUGAAGCAUUAAGCUGAACCGAGUUCACCGGGUGACCAGGGCAGUAGGCGUAACUAAGCAACAAUCGAUCUUCAGGAGAACUUGUCACUUCCUUCUUAAUGCGGUGGUUCCUAUCUCAGGGAUACUGGACUUGACACAGAUGAACAAUUAAAGUGGAAAGCGCUUCCCUUUUCUCCUCUGUGGCAGUUACAAUUUUGACUUCAGGCCUGAGAAAAACUUCAGGUUUCGAAACAUGAUGUCUCCUCCUUUUCCAGGUCCCAUGCUUUGAAAAAUAUUUACAGAGUCCCAGGUCUCUGCUCCAGUCCUCCAGUUCUGCUGUUCAGGCCUAAAUCCUCAUCUCCUAGUUCAUAUAAUCUUGAGUUCUAGAUACAAACACACAACAGCUGGCAGUUUUUCACAAGAACGCCCACCUGUACAUACUGUUUCCUCAGAGUUGUCUAGAAAAUCAGUGCAAUGUAUGAGAAUCAAGUGUUAGGGAAUCUCAUGGUCCCACCUAUGACCUUUCUUUUAGAAUUGAACUAUGAUUAGAUUGUAUCUAAACCUGAAGUAUAAUUAUAUGCAAUGCUUCUUAAAGCUUCAUAAAAUAAUUUUCCAACCUUUUU
rnacentral:lncRNA from 1 species